UGCGAGAAUGACGGUUCGAGCAGGUGCGAAAGCAGGUCAUAGUGAUCCGGUGGUUCUGUAUGGAAGGGCCAUCGCUCAACGGAUAAAAGGUACUCCGGGGAUAACAGGCUGAUACCGCCCAAGAGUUCAUAUCGACGGCGGUGUUUGGCACCUCGAUGUCGGCUCAUCACAUCCUGGGGCUGAAGUCGGUCCCAAGGGUAUGGCUGUUCGCCAUUUAAAGUGGUACGCGAGCUGGGUUUAGAACGUCGUGAGACAGUUCGGUCCCUAUCUGCCGUGGGCGUUGGAAGAUUGAAGGGGGCUGCUCCUAGUACGAGAGGACCGGAGUGGACGAACCUCUGGUGUUCGGGUUGUGUCGCCAGACGCAUUGCCCGGUAGCUAAGUUCGGAAUUGAUAAGCGCUGAAAGCAUCUAAGCGCGAAGCGAGCCCUGAGAUGAGUCUUCCCUGACAGUUUAACUGUCCUAAAGGGUUGUUCGAGACUAGAACGUUGAUAGGCAGGGUGUGUAAGCGUUGUGAGGCGUUGAGCUAACCUGUACUAAUUGCCCGUGAGGCUUAACCAU
rnacentral:rRNA from 1 species